rnacentral:rRNA from 1 species
UACGUAGGGGGCAAGCGUUGUCCGGAUUUAUUGGGCGUAAAGAGCGUGUAGGCGGUUUGGUAGGUCCGUUGUGAAAACUCGAGGCUCAACCUCGAGACGCCGAUGGAAACCAUCAGACUAGAGUGCGGGAGAGGAGAGUGGAAUUCCUGGUGUAGCGGUGAAAUGCGUAGAUAUCAGGAGGAGCACCGGUGGUGUAGACGGCUCUCUGGACCGUAACUGACGCUGAGGCACGAAAGCGUGGGUAGCAAACAGG